AGACGAGCAAAGAAGAAGGUUCACCUGCACAGCAUAGCACUGUAAGCCAAUCACAAGUUUCUAAUAAAAAUAACCAAAGUGGAGAUCAAGGAUCACAGCCUUUAACCAGAGCAAAGUUGCAAGAGUUAGUCCGAGAAGUUGACCCAACAGUACAAAUAGAUGGAGAGGUUGAGGAAGUUUUGCUUAAUUUAGCUGAUGACUUUAUGCAUGCUGUAGUACAUGGAUCUUGCUCUGUUGCUAAGAAGAGACAAGCAUCUGCUGUGGAGUUAAAGGAUGUUCUACAACAAUUAUACCAAUGCAAAAAUAUUAGUUUAACUCAACAAAAAGGUAAAAUUAUAAGAUAUUUCAAUACCAAGUAUUACGAAAAAUACACUUGGCUAGCUAGAUGCCGCCAUUCCAAUUUAUUGAUCUGCUUCCCCUGCUGUUUAUUUUCUGCAACGAAAACUGUGUGGAAUGAUACUGGUUACGGUGACUUGCAUAAUUUGACAAAAUUUCUAAAAAACACGAUGAAUCUGACAGAACGGCAGAAAAAUGUUGGUAAGUGAACUUAUAUUUAUCCUUAUACCUAACAGGAACUAUUUUUUUUUAUAUUUUCGAGUGCCUACCGCGCUGGAAAUCUAAUGCACGUCCCUGCCUGUAUCCCAAGUUACCCUGAUGCACCUUAUUAUAUUCUAGGAAAUAAGAGUUUUUUUUGUAUGAAAUUUUAAUACAACCUACUAAAAAUUCACAAACAAGCUAAGAACAAAAUAAUUAACUCUAAAAUUAAAAGCAUCGAUUCGUUAAGCUUCUAAUAAUAAUAAUACAGCCACAAAUUAAUAUUCGGAUAAAAAUUGGGCAGUGUAAUGCCCUAACCGCCUAACGGUUAGGGCCUAACUCGUCAUUGGUUGCGGCAGAAAUGUCGACACCAUGCCAGGGAGACGGCGCCUUUUAUAGUCAUCUUCACCCUCGACACCUGUCACUUUCUACAGUAUAAUGGAAUAUAUAAUUGCAGAAAUACAAUCGAAUGUGUGGAUACCUGGAUUCGGUAACGACGAGCUGCGGCCAUACAAAAGAGCAGCGGUCACCGAAGCUCAAAACAGCGAAUUGUGAAUGAAUCCGGUAGACCAUGAAAAAAUAUUAAAUAAACAUUCAUAAUAUU